GCGCCUAUAGCUCAGAUGGAUAGAGCACGGCCCUCCUAAGGCCGGUUUGGGCACGUUCGAGUCGUGCUAGGCGCA
rnacentral:tRNA from 1 species